AAUUGUUUCCAAAAAGAUCUUACAUGUUUUGUUAGAUUUAUUCAUUUUAUUCCUAUUACCUCAUUGUUUGCUGUUUUAGAUAAUUGUAUCUUUUUAAACUAAAUCUGGUCUAUGGAGGUAUAAUUUACCUACAAUAUUUUUCCUUUUCAGGUAUUGUAGUUCAGUGAGGUUUUUAAAGGUAUAAGGUCAUGCAGUGGCCAUCAAAAUAGAGAAUUUUUCCAUUACCCCAAGAACUCCUUCAUGCCCCUUUGUAAUCAAUCCUCCCUCCCCGGCUCUAGUCCCUGGCAGUCACUGCUCUGAAUUCUGUCCCUAUAAUUUUACCUUUUCUAGAAUGUUGUGUUCAUCUUAAAAAUAAUACUGCUGGUUAUUUCACCAGCAAAAAUGGGUUUGUUCAGGAACAGCAGAGGAUUACAAUAUGGAACAAACCAGCUAUGGCAAAAUCAGAGGCAUGUCUGCCACAUGAAGGAGAGAAAUGUUUUUUGGUUUUUUUUUGUUUUUUUUUUUAAUAUAAUUUAUUGUCAAGUUUGCUAACAUAGAGUGUGUACAGUGUGCUCUUGGUUUUGGGGUAGAUUCCCAUGAUUCAUCGCUUACAUACAAUACCCAGUCCUCAUACCAACAAGUGCCCUCCUCAAUGCCCAUCACCCAUUUUCCCCCCUCCCGCCUGCCUCCCAAAGAGAAAUGUAUUUUAACAGAAGAAAGGGGGAAGCUGGGAAGUCUGUUAUAAGCAAGUCCAUCGGACUGACCUGGGGAAGUUCAACUACAGUGGCUUCUCAUUGGCUGAGUCCCAGGCCCCUGCCAUUCACUGUAGAGGUCAGCAUGAGCAGGAUGAGCACCUGACAAUGGCCAGGGGUGAGGUCAUCACAUCAUCCAGUGUCCGGCAGUGAACCCAGCAAGGGUUGGAGUCUUCCUGGCCUACAGGUGCAGAAGUCACCCAGCCAGCAGGAGGUCAAGCUGUCCAAAUCCCGGCACUCCCUCUGAUCCCCAGAGGGUGCCUGCAUGGGGAAGCAGCUGCCAGGUGCCUUGAACCCACGGCCUAGGGGUCAGUACAGAGUGGUGGCUGCUGAAAGUCCUGAGUGGAGAGAAGCAGGGAUGGUCUAUACGGGCAGUGGACCACAAGGAGGGUGGGGGUACUAGUGAUAUGGGGCUGCAGAGCAAAGAGUCAAAAAAGAAUUCUCAAGAUGUUUUGGGUGCCAAACAGGCGUUUGUAUUACAGCACGGGUCGGACCGUGGGCAGAAAGAGCUGCAGUUAUCCUGUUGUUAGGGUAAGGUUAUUUCAUUGUCUAGUAGAACAGUCCUGAGACUCAGAUGUGUAUUUGAGAGAGAGAUGUGUAUCAGCGGCCAUAUGUUGAAAGAAGACUGUUAACAUAUAUCCUGGGCAGGAGGAGGUGUGCAGUUAUCAGAGGGAAGUUACACUGACCACAGUGAUGAAGCUACAGCGGUAAAACAUUAAAGGAAGUCCCUGAAGGAAUAGAGGAGUGUUACAAUCUGUAACCUUUGCUGCCUCAGGAGUCGCAGCAAAGUCUGGUCUUUGUUCUUUUUCUCCCAUCGCUAGGAAGAGCCGCGGGGGAAAGGGCUAGGAAAGGUCCCGGGAACAGGUGGCGGAAUCCGGGUGGGGAGAAGGGCUCACGCUGGCAGGGGCCCGGCAACGAUCUCCGGAGCCAAAUCGGGUGGGCGAGCGCGAGGGUGGGUGGGAGCAGGCCUGCGAAAGGAGCGCUCCGGGGUCCCGAGGGGCAGCCCGAGCGAGGGUGGGGGGGUCGGGGAGCGGGUUCCCGGGGACCACCGCUGGGCUGCUGGGGGAGAAGGAGCUACUGACCGCCAGUGAAGUCGGCCACGGGGUGGGUGCGUCCCGAGGGCCGUUUGCGGAGGGGAGAGCUGUCCGGGGCUGUCGGUCCAGCUGCGGUGGGCGAGGGCUGGGCUGAGGGAGCCGGUACGGAGGGGUGAGGGUCGCAGACACGGGUGAGUCACAACUCUUAUCCUUUCCCCGAGACCCCGGCGGCACCUCGGAAGAUGCUCUUCUCUCGGGCGGCACUGGUGUCUCCUGUGGAGCGACCUCCGGAGCCCGCUCGCCGGCAGCUCCGAGGCAGGCGUCAGCGGCGCCACCUGGUGGUUCCUGCACGCCCGGCCUCCCGCCCCAGGCCCAGGCCUCGUUCUGCUCCCGGCUCGCUCCCUAAGGUCGCCGCCUGCCCGCGGCCUCCCCUGCUGCCCCAGCCAAGCACAGUCACGGAGACAUCCAGACCUCGUUGCUGUCGCUGUGCCUCCUUUGCUCCCUGCUGAAAGUACCUCCGCCUUCCAGUCUCAGGCUCCACAUCUGUUAAAUGGACUUACUGAAAACACCUACCUCUUCGAGUUGUAAGUCCUAAGUAACAUAUUCCGUGCAAAGUUGCUUAGUACUUGGUCCCGGUUUACAAUCUUCACCCUCCCCUCAGGCCUUAUGACUCUUAUUAUGUACUCGAUGAGCAAAGUGAACCUCAGAGAGAGGUUAAGCUGCUGGAGGUUUCACAGUCAGGAAGUGGCCCCUGGAACUCCAAGUCAAGAGGGUCCAAAGCCCAAACCUUAUCUCACAUUAUGGCAGAAGGCAUGUCCUGGACAAGGAAGUAAAGGGGCUAGUUCAGUUCUGUCCUCUUGGGCAAUGCACCUCUUUCUCUCUCUGGUGUCGAUUACCACGUGCACUGAAUGAGCAAAUAGUAGAGCAUGAGCUCCCAGGCUGGGGUCUGAGAAGGGGUCUGUCCCUGGAAUCUCUGGGGCUGAGUGGGUCUGGCAGCCCCAACAACUGCACUCACCCAGCUGGUCCCUUCAGCGCUGCUGGUUCUGGGACAUGGGGCUGGACUGCUGGGAGCAGGCCAGCUGUGGAGACUUCCUGGCUCCUGAAGUUUUGGGUUUCACAUACCAUGGGGACCAGGCUGGCUGUGGCUGUCUGAGCUUGUAGAAGACAGGCUCCAGUUGGGGGAGCUCUCCCUGACUCCAUAAUGUGUAAGUGGCCUGGGCAGGCAGCCAGGUUCAGGCCCCGGGGUCCCUCAGAGCUCCCUCCCUUGUCCCACAAACAUUCCCUUCCUAGAGAAGCGAGGCUUCCCGGGGAGACCCCAACACCUCCUCUGAGACCCUGCAAGUCCCAUUGCCCCCACACCCCUGCCCCUGACAUGGUCCUAAGGCAGCUGGGCCCAGAUCUACUCCCUCCCUAACAUAUCCCUGAGCGGCCUCCGGGACCUCUGUGGCACCCUCUCCUCUCCCUUGAGCCCCCAGCCCUGCAGGGACCACUGAGCUGUUUAGGCCAAUGCUGAGGUCUCCUCAGAGGAGGAAGAUGAUCACAGGCUGAGGAAGGCAGGCCCUGUGACCCCUUAACUACCCCCUCACCCUACCUGCCCCACUCUCUCCCCAAUGCUUCAUAGAGGUGGUGGCUGGGUGGGGCUGGGUCCUGGCAAAGCCACACCAGAGCAUACCUAGAAUAGUAAACUGGGUUUCUGGAAGGUUCUGUGGUUGGACACAGGCUCUGGGCAGGCUCUUCCUGAACCAGGCAGAGGGGGUGGUUCCUGGCUUGGCAGGUAGCGCUGCCUGGGACUUCCCACAAGCAGAACCAAGUAAAGGACCUAGUGGCAGGUGUCUCCUCUCCCAGGCUAGUAUCCAUCCUGGUUGGGGGUGCGGCCUGAGCCUGGCUCCAGGACCAUCCUGUCGCUGCCACCCAGAAUCUUUCACACUCCUGUAGAGCCUUGCAGCUUGUAGAGCUCUUCCGUGUUCUCACAUGGCAAAGGUGUGAUGAGGCCCAGGUGGCUGGGCCUGUUUACCGCAGGAGGCUGAUUCCCGGAUGGGAAGAUGAGUGGGUAGGGGAGUGUGUGUUCAGUCCCUGUGUUGACCCGCCUCUACCUGCCCCCUGAGUACCCAGUGGGGAGUAGUGCUGGUGCCCUAGUAAUAAGAGAGGAGCCAGAGGAAGCUACUGUGGGCAGAUCUGAGGUGAUCCUCCUGCCUCUGAAUAUCAAUUCUGUGGAAUUGUGGAUAUUGUGGAAUUCCGUGGAAGGAAGGCAUCAGGACCUCCUCCCCCAGAACAUCUCAGGGAGCCCGACAUAGGCAUGCUGGGCCAGGCUACAGGGGCUUUUCUUGGGUUGAAGCCCCAGAAGCCCUUGCUGCUGUCCUAGGACAUGGCAAGAUGGGAGUAUAGACCCCCCAAUCUCACCUUCCCAGCCCCUGGUGCCACUCAGCAAGGUCUACAGGGCCAGGAACCCCCCCUGGUCCAGAGUGGAGGGUGAGCAGGGGAGAGGUCUCCUAUGCUGAGGCCCCAUCCCUGUCCAAGUCUAACCUGGCUCCUGCCUCCCAGGGGUUGAAACUGCCUCUAACCUCUUAACCCCUAAAGAAGAAAAGGUCCAGCCAAGGCCCCAGUCAGAAACCACUUUUUUUUUUGACUUAGUUAUCAACAUCACCUGUGACGGCUGGGGACUUGAAAACAGGAAACAACCUGGGAUGGAAUUUUGUCACCUCGCAUAGAUACAUGUGUGCCCACACGUACCCACACGUGCACACGUGCUGACCACAUCCGUGGCGAGUGGGCCUUGACCAGCUUUAUGUUAGAGACACUUAUGCAGGCCGGAGAAUAAGAUAAGAUGUGCAAAGACAAUGGGUACCCAGGACACAGGUGCACAACAGAAGGGGAUCCCAGAGGCCUGAGAAGAGAGGGAGCCCAAGCGGACUUGGGGUCCCUCUCAUCGAACUCCUAAGUGCUCCUCCGUGGUUCUGUGCCCCACAGGGUCAGGGAAAUGGACAAAGUUGGGGCCAACUGGGAGAGGCCGCUCUCCCGCCUGAGCAUAAAGUCCAUUCUCAAUGGAGAUGAAACUGCUGCGUGCAGAGGCUGGCAGGGGCACCCAGGGGGCAGGAGGCCGAGGUUGGCACGCCGUGUGGGCGGGGAACACUGCCCAUGGGGACAGUGGCCGGGGCUGAAGAACCGUGUCUAGAGUGGUGAGGCGGUAACGGUUGGUGUUGACAGUAGUGUACGGGAUGUGGAGAGAGGCCAGGGAGGCUUGGCUGGCCACCUGCUGGGACGAUGGGGAAGGAGGCCUGAGUUAGGCCCUACCUCAUAGCCCCCCAGUACCAGCCCACUCUGUUCCCCACUCGCAAACAAUCCCGCAGUCCUCACCCUUGCUCGCGUCUGUGUCUGGGGGCUGGUGAAGGGUGGCUGAAGCUUCAUGACAGACCUGGGAAAGUGAGGAGGGUUAGAAGCAAAGCAUGUGGCUAGCCCGCUGGUGUGGGAGUUUGGACUGGGCCCAGCAGGGGUUGGGUCUCACCAGUGCCUCUGCCGAUGCAGCAGGUAGAGAAGGUAGACACAGCCAAAGAUGAGGACCCCCGAGACCCCCAAGAUCCCAGCCAGGUCAGCCCGCAGUAUGGGGGAUGGAGUAGGGGCAGGGAGCCCUGUGUAUAGAGAGAGAGGUGUACCAGAUGGGCAGCCAGUGCCCUGGGGUCCCUCCCUGCCCUCCCUGGCCCCUCUCAUUGGCCCCACCUUGGUCUGUGCUGAGGAAGAGG